rnacentral:rRNA from 1 species
UUGGAGGGCAAGUCUGGUGCCAGCAGCCGCGGUAAUUCCGGCUCCAAUAGCGUAUAUUAAAGUUGUUGCAGUUAAAAAGCUCGUAGUUGAAUUUCAGGCCUGGCUGGACGGUCCGCCCUUCGGGUGAGUACUGUCUGUGGUCGGGUCCUACCUUCUGGCGAAGCGUCAUGGCCUUAACCGGCCGUGGCGGGGAACCAGGACUUUUACUGUGAAAAAAUUAGAGUGUUCAAAGCAGGCAAUCGCUUGGAUACAUUAGCAUGGAAUAAUGGAAUAGGACAAUGGUUCUAUUUGUUGGUUUCUAGGACCGUUGUAAUGAUUAAUAGGGAUAGUUGGGGGCAUUAGUAUUCAAUUGUCAGAGGUGAAAUUCUUGGAUUUAUUGAAGACUAACUACUGCGAAAGCAUUUGCCAAGGAUGUUUUCAUUAAUCAAGAACGAAAGUUAGGGGAUCGAAGACGAUCAGAUACCGUCGUAGUCUUAACCAUAAACUAUGCCGACUAGGAAUCGGGCGAUGUUGAAAAAAUGACGCGCUCGGCACCUUAUGGGAAACCAAAG